rnacentral:rRNA from 1 species
AUACAGAGGGUGCGAGCGUUAAUCGGAAUUACUGGGCGUAAAGCGCGCGUAGGCGGCUUAUUAAGUCAGAUGUGAAAUCCCCGGGCUCAACCUGGGAACUGCAUCUGAUACUGGUAAGCUAGAGUUUUGGAGAGGGAAGUAGAACUUCAGGUGUAGCGGCGAAAUGCAUAGAGAUCUGAAGGAAUACCAGUGGCGAAGGCGACUUCCUGGCCAAAAACUGACGCUGAGGUGCGAAAGCGUGGGUAGCAAACGGGAUUAGAAACCCUAGUAGUCC